UCCCUAACUACUAAGACUUGUCAACUCGAUGGGGACGAUCUCGUGGAAAUUGUCGCGAACCUCGGUGGGUUUAUCCUUGUAGGGAUUGUCACAAGAAAAGCCUAUUCCAUGCGACCAUUGGUCCAUGCUAUCGCGGAGUGUAAACUGCAAGCAUCUUGUGGUUAGGUUUAGAUCAAUGGCGAUCUGUUGUAAAAUAACGGCGAACAAACGAUGAAGAAAAUAAGAUCAAUGAUAGCAUAGACACAAGAUUUAACGUAGGAAACCCCUCCAAUGUAGUAGAGAAAAACCACGGACGCCAGCCAACAACACUCCUCGCUAUUAUCAAAAGUCGGGUUACAACACCAUAUGGCGGCUUACAAGAGAUGAUCAAGGUAAAACUCUAAUCGGAGUACAUGUACCGUCACUCUAUCCUAAGCCUCUCGUUGUCGACGAGCUUCCGCUUCGCUCUGUGAAGUCCGGUAACCUAAUGUGCAACUGAAUUUGUAACAUAUUCAACACGAUCUGCAGACCGUGUAUAAGUAGUUCCGUACGGAGUAGACUCUAGCGAGAGAUGGUACGACUGAGCCUGCAAGGUCCAACUGGUCCAACAAGACGCACGGUCCACAACUUAACUCAAAUCAAACAAAGCGACUGUCGUGUCCCAGUAUAUACCUACGUGUGUACGCCGAAUUGAUGUUGGAGUGACGACCAAAUGCCAGAACUCCCAGAAGUGGGAGGCCACGCAGCAGGCCGCCGCAGCCCGCGAAUCGCGCGCUCGUCUCCGUCUCUCGCGCGCGUUUCGGUUUCCUGGCCCCUCCGCCGCCGGCGCGCGCCCUCCCCCGGCCUGCACUGCACAGCUGCACUCCUCUAAUAGCUUCGGCCACUCCAUGCACAGCGACGCGCGAAUGCAGUGGACCAAUAUAUCCAGUCUGGAUGCAUAUGAGCAUGACUGAUCUCAAGGACGAAUAGAAAAUUAAACACUAGCUAGUGGGAGUAGUAGUACUACUGGACCAGCUUCUUCUUCUUCUUCUUUUCUUUUUUUUUUUUUGAGAGAGAGAGCGGUACUGGACCAGCUGGAAAUGCGCGCCAUCAUCCUAGCCAAUGCAUGUAUGCAUGCUCUAGCUAACGCAUCCAUGGACACAAGGUGUACUUAUGUUUAAUUUUGCGACAAAAACUGCGGCAUAUUGGUCCCCAGAAUUACGUGCGCGCGCGGCCAGCUGACUGACUGCACCAUGCAUGGCAAGUAGGUAAAGUUUUAGUCACGUCAGUACAAAAAAAAGUCGAUGUAACGACUGUGAUGCAUAGUAUGUGUCUGGAACAUCACUUUAACUAAGCACAUACUUCCUCUAUCCCAAAUUAUAAGUCAUUCUAAAAACUUUAGAGAAUCAAACUAUCUUAAGUUUAACCGAAUUUAUAUGGUAAGAUAAUAAUAUUUAUGGUGUCAACUUAGUAUCAUUACAUUGUACCUAUUUCAUGUUAUAAAUAUUUGUAAUUCUCUCUAAAAUUUUGGUCAAAGUUGAGAUGUUUUGACUCUCCGACAUGCUUGGAAUGACUUACAAUUUAGGAUGGAGAGAGUAUAUACUUAGGAGUAAUAUAUACUCAAGUACAGUGUCAGUAGAAAAUUAAUAAUGCAUAAUGCUGCUUGAUGGAGUGUAUGAUUACUGUCAGAAAUAAUAUGUUGUGGGUUGGUACGGUUGCCCGCCCCCCCCUUGUGGGAGAUAUAUUACAGUGUCAGUAGACCAAAGUUUGUAACUCCAUGUCACGAGCACAGCCUGAGCCCUGAAAGGCUGAAAACCUGAUGCAGCUAUAUAUAUAUACAUCCAUGCAUGCACAUGCGAGACAUGCAUAGGCAACACGUUCGGUGGCUUCACGAGCCGUUUGAAGUUAUUUCUUGCCAAAUAAGGUAAAAUAAAAUGGUUCUAU
rnacentral:lncRNA from 1 species